UACGUAGGGGGCAAGCGUUGUCCGGAAUCAUUGGGCGUAAAGCGCGCGUAGGCGGCCAGAUAAGUCCGGUGUGAAAGUCAAAGGCUCAACCUUUGAAUGCCGCUGGAAACUGUCUGGCUUGAGUCCGGAAGGGGCGAGUGGAAUUCCUGGUGUAGCGGUGAAAUGCGCAGAUAUCGGGAAGAACACCCGUGGCGAAGGCGGCUCUCUGGAACGCAACUGACGCUGAGACGCGAAAGCGUGGGGAGCAAACAGG
rnacentral:rRNA from 1 species